ACAGCUGGCCAAACCAUGACAACUGGUUUGUACGCAGUCCUUGUGAAAAGGAUGAAAGCGUCCUAGACAACCAAAUUAAUUCGCUCUUCAAAAACGGUGCUAGACAAAGUCCAUGACUCUAGAGGGCACUGAAGAGAAAAAAGCACAACUAUUCUACUGUGGCAGGGGCAUGAAUAAACCUUAAGAAUGCUGUUCCUUUAAAGACCAAUACAAAAGCAGCAUACUGCUGUUCCACGGCCUCGAAGCGUAGAGGGGGUGAAGCUGACAGACCCUAUCCAGAGAACCCGCCACCGGGACCCGGCGUCUGAAGGUCCCGAGCCCCGCCGACAGCCCAGACCCAGUCCGGGCUAGCCCGAGGCCUCCCUGGAGGUGGACGGUUUCAAUCCACAGAUACUGGGACCCCAGGGAGACACUCACCAGCCUCCGAACCUGCCAUGUCUCGAAGGCAGGUCGCCGCCGGACUCCGACGCGGCCGGGCAGGCGACGGUGUCCUGGAAGGGCCGAUCCACGCAGACCCGACGCUGGGGCGCGGGCGCACGAACCAAAGCGCAGGGAAGGAGGAGUGAAAGAGGGAGGGACGUUAAAAGAGCUUCUCGCCGCUGAUUGGUCAUCAGAGGAGCACUUCCUUUCACAGCACGUGCCACGGAGGCGGUUUGGGAAGUUUAGAGACCAUUCUCCGCCGACCAAAACCCGUCAGAGGAUUAUCAGACCCGCGGGUCGGACGGUCCAAAUCA
rnacentral:sRNA from 1 species